AUUGAACGCUGGCGGCAUGCCUUACACAUGCAAGUCGAACGGCAGCACGGGGGGUAACCCCUGGUGGCGAGUGGCGAACGGGUGAGUAAUAUAUCGGAACGUGUCCUGUAGCGGGGGAUAACCUAUCGAAAGAUGGACUAAUACCGCAUACGACCUACGGGUGAAAGCGGAGGACCGCAAGGCUUCGCACUAUAGGAGCGGCCGAUAUCGGAUUAGCUAGUUGGCGGGGUAACGGCCCACCAAGGCGACGAUCCGUAGCUGGUCUGAGAGGACGAUCAGCCACACUGGAACUGAGACACGGUCCAGACUCCUACGGGAGGCAGCAGUGGGGAAUUUUGGACAAUGGGCGCAAGCCUGAUCCAGCCAUGCCGCGUGAGUGAAGAAGGCCUUCGGGUUGUAAAGCUCUUUCGGCGGGGACGAAACGGUUGGUGCUAAUACCACGGACUACUGACGGUACCCGCAGAAGAAGCACCGGCUAACUACGUG
rnacentral:rRNA from 1 species